rnacentral:rRNA from 1 species
UACGUAGGGUGCGAGCGUUGUCCGGAAUUAUUGGGCGUAAAGAGCUUGUAGGCGGUUUGUCGCGUCUGCUGUGAAAAUCCGGGGCUCAACCCCGGACUUGCAGUGGGUACGGGCAGACUAGAGUGUGGUAGGGGAGACUGGAAUUCCUGGUGUAGCGGUGAAAUGCGCAGAUAUCAGGAGGAACACCGAUGGCGAAGGCAGGUCUCUGGGCAUUAACUGACGCUGAGGCACGAAAGCGUGGGGAGCAAACAGG